AUUGAACGCUGGCGGCAUGCCUUACACAUGCAAGUCGAACGGUAACAGGUCUUCGGAUGCUGACGAGUGGCGAACGGGUGAGUAAUACAUCGGAACGUGCCUAGUAGUGGGGGAUAACUACUCGAAAGAGUGGCUAAUACCGCAUGAGAUCUACGGAUGAAAGCAGGGGAUCGCAAGACCUUGUGCUACUAGAGCGGCCGAUGGCAGAUUAGGUAGUUGGUGGGAUAAAAGCUUACCAAGCCGACGAUCUGUAGCUGGUCUGAGAGGACGAUCAGCCACACUGGGACUGAGACACGGCCCAGACUCCUACGGGAGGCAGCAGUGGGGAAUUUUGGACAAUGGGCGAAAGCCUGAUCCAGCAAUGCCGCGUGCAGGAUGAAGGCCUUCGGGUUGUAAACUGCUUUUGUACGGAACGAAAAGCCCUGGGUUAAUACCCUGGGGUCAUGACGGUACCGUAAGAAUAAGCACCGGCUAACUACGUGCCAGCAGCCGCAGUAACAC
rnacentral:rRNA from 1 species